rnacentral:rRNA from 1 species
AGUGAACGCUGGCGGCGUGCCUAAUACAUGCAAGUCGAACGGAGUGGCGCACGGGUGAGUAAUGUAUAGCUAAUCUGCCCUACACGAGAGGACAACAGUUGGCAACGAAUGCUCAUACUCUAUAGUAGAGGAUGAGGCUAUAUUGUAUCAGCUAGUUGGUGCGGGAAUGGCGCACAAAGGCUAUGACGAAUAACUGGUCUGAGAGGAUGAUCAGGCACACUUGAACUGAGACACGGUCCAGACUCCGACGGGAGGCAGCAGUAGGGAAUAUUGCUCAAUGGGGGAAACCCUGAAGCAGCAACGCCGCGUGGAGGAUGACACUUUUCGGAGCGUAAACUCCUUUUGUUAGGGAAGCGGUACCUAACGAAUAAGCACCGGCUAACGCCGUGCCAGCAGCCGCGGUAAUUC